AUUGAACGCUGGCGGCAGGCCUAACACAUGCAAGUCGAGCGGAGCGGCGGACGGACGAGUAAUGCCUAGGUAUCUGCCUGGUAGUGGGGGUUAACGUCCGGAAACGGGCGCUAAUACCGCAUACUCUCAGAUGAGCCUAGGCCGGAUUAGCUAGUUGGUGGGGUAAAGGCCUACCAAGGCGACGAUCCGUAACUGGUCUGAGAGGAUGAUCAGUCACACUGGAACUGAGACGCGGUCCAGAGUCCUACGGUAGGCAGCAGUGGGGAAUAUGGGACAAUGGGCGAAAGCCUGAUCCAGCCAUGCCGCGGGUGUGAAGAAGGUCUUCGGAUGGUAAAGCACGUUAAGUUGGGAGGCGUUACCAACAGAAGAAGCACCGGCUAACUACGUGCCAGCCGCCGCGGUAAUUC
rnacentral:rRNA from 1 species